rnacentral:lncRNA from 1 species
ACAAAGUCUUCCCAGCUUGAAAUAAACGAUAAGCAUCAACAAACUUUGCCGGUGGAACAUAGCGGUACGGGAGAUCAGGAUUGGACCAGUACUGCUCUUGGUCCUUCUUUGAUAUAACCUGCGUACAAGGAAAACAAUUGUCAACCAUUCCAUGUAACAGAAUGCAAAUUCACAACUACAACUCAAGAUUUCUAUAUAUAACUUACUUCUUGCAAGAAGUCUGCCACAUUCUUUCUCAGUGGACAUCUAAAUCCCAUAUAUGAAAAGAAAUCAAGAGCAGUUUCGCGGGGUCCCUGAUACACAAUCUGGCCCUCACACAAAAGUAUAACAUCAUCAAACAAUUCAUAGGUCUCUGGAGCAG